rnacentral:rRNA from 1 species
GUGGGGAAUAUUGGACAAUGGGCGAAAGCCUGAUCCAGCCAUGCCGCGUGUGUGAAGAAGGUCUUCGGAUUGUAAAGCACUUUAAGUUGGGAGGAAGGGCAGUAAGUUAAUACCUUGCUGUUUUGACGUUACCGACAGAAUAAGCACCGGCUAACUUCGUGCCAGCAGCCGCGGUAAUACGAAGGGUGCAAGCGUUAAUCGGAAUUACUGGGCGUAAAGCGCGCGUAGGUGGGUUUGUAAGUUGGAGGUGAAAUCCCCGGGCUCAACCUGGGAACUGCCUCCAAAACUGCAUGACUAGAGUACGGUAGAGGGUAGUGGAAUUUCCUGUGUAGCGGUGAAAUGCGUAGAUAUAGGAAGGAACACCAGUGGCGAAGGCGACUACCUGGACUGAUACUGACACUGAGGUGCGAAAGCGUGGGGAGCAAACAGGAUUAGAUACCCCUGUAGUCC